GCGGAAAUCUGAAAGAAUGUAGGCGGUGUCAUUUUUGAUUUCAGCAUCUCCCGAAUUUGUCAUCUCUCGAUUCGAGCCAAUUUUGGGCAUGCCAAAUCGAGGGUAUUUUUCGCGGGA
ensembl:ncRNA F28C10.5 ncRNA